AACUAUAUAAGUUUUUAUUUCAAAACCUAUAAAAAAAAUAAAGUGUGUAUGUCAUGAAUCACAAAAUUAGAUAUUGAAUUUCAAAUAAAAUAACUGUUAUCUAAUUACUAUGCAGCAAGUCUGAGACCAUAUUUAAGUAGCUGCAGAAUUUUACAAAGCUUCUUAGGGAAUAUAUUCACAUUGGCAUAUAACCUUAAAAAAAAUGAUCAUGAUAAUUUACAUUGACCAAAGUUUUUAUGAAUCAAUAAAACUUCUGAGAACAAUAAACAUAUCACAGGGAAAUAGUGAGAAUGUACACAUGUGAUGGGAGAUAAUCGUUGUCCACAAGGAACUCUCGAACAAGAUUAGAAGUAAAUGAUCUUAUGUAAACUUAGGGACGUAGUGCUAGAAACUAGUUAUGUAAACUUAGGAAAGUAGUGCUACAAACUAGUUAUGUAAACUUAGGAAAGUAGUGCUACAAACUAGUUAUGUAAACUUAGA